CCUACGGGUGGCAGCAGUGGGGGAUAUUGCACAAUGGGGGAAACCCUGAUGCAGCGACGCCGCGUGUGGGAAGACGGUCUUCUGGAUUGUAAACCACUGUCCCCAGGGACGAAAAUGACGGUACCUGGGGAGGAAGCUCCGGCUAACUACGUGCCAGCAGCCGCGGUAAUACGUAGGGAGCAAGCGUUGUCCGGAAUUACUGGGUGUAAAGGGAGCGUAGGCGGGGAUGCAAGUUGGGUGUCAAAACUACCGGCUCAACCGAUAGUCGCACUCAAAACUGCAGCCCUUGAGUGAACGAGAGGAAGGCGGAAUGCGUGGUGUAGCGGUGAAAUGCGUAGAUAUUAGGCAGAACACCAGUGGCGAAGGCAGCCUUCUGGGCUUUUACUGACGCUGAGGCACGAAAGUGUGGGGAGCGAACAGGAUUAGAUACCCCAGUAGUC
rnacentral:rRNA from 1 species